GAUGAACGCUGGCGGCGUGCCUAAUACAUGCAAGUCGAGCGAACAGACGAGGAGCUUGCUCCUCUGACGUUAGCGGCGGACGGGUGAGUAACACGUGGAUAACCUACCUAUAAGACUGGGAUAACUUCGGGAAACCGGAGCUAAUACCGGAUAAUAUAUUGAACCGCAUGGUUCAAUAGUGAAAGACGGUUUUGCUGUCACUUAUAGAUGGAUCCGCGCCGCAUUAGCUAGUUGGUAAGGUAACGGCUUACCAAGGCAACGAUGCGUAGCCGACCUGAGAGGGUGAUCGGCCACACGGGAACUGAGACACGGUCCAGACUCCUACGGGAGGCAGCAGUAGGGAAUCUUCCGCAAUGGGCGAAAGCCUGACGGAGCAACGCCGCGGGAGUGAUGAAGGUCUUCGGAUCGUAAAACUCUGUUAUUAGGGAAGAACAAAUGUGUAAGUAACUAUGCACGUCUUGACGGUACCUAAUCAGAAAGCCACGGCUAACUACGU
rnacentral:rRNA from 1 species